UACGUAGGUGGCGAGCGUUGUCCGGAAUGACUGGGCGUAAAGGGAGCGUAGGUGGUGGUUUAAGUUAAAUGUGAAAGACCGGGGCUCAACUCCGGAACUGCAUUUAAUAAUGGAUCACUAGAGUACAGGAGGGGUAAGCGGUAUUCCUAGUGUAGCGGUUAAAUGCGUAGAUAUUAGGAGGAACACCAGAGGCGAAGGCGGCUUACUGGACUGCAACUGACACUGAGGCUCGAAAGCGUGGGGAUCAAAC
rnacentral:rRNA from 1 species